CCCUUCUUAGGGUCGCACCUGGAGAGUUUCCAGGACUCUACCAGUCUCAGCUACAGGAGGGAUAGUCAAGCAGAGGCCUACCCAUUCCAUUCCUAGCUUGUCAAGUAGAUAGCGAGGGAAAGACAACCUGCUACAAGU